rnacentral:rRNA from 1 species
AUGGCUCCGCCCGCCGCCGGCAGGCCCUCGGCCUCCGCCGCGCCGGAGCCUCCCCUGCGGGAGGCCGCCAAGCGCCGGCGCGCCCCCGCGUGCGCCGGUGCCGGGGCCCGCAUCCUUUCCCUGGGCGUGCGGGGCGCCGUGAUGGUCGCCGCGCUGGUGCUCUUCCUACUCUUCGCCGCCGCCGCGGUCAUCCUCAUGCUCGCGCUCCUCGUCGCCGCGCGCGGCUUCCGCCAGCAGGGCCGCCGCCGGCACCGCGCCUCGCCCGACUCCUCCACUCCGCCGCCGCCCCCCGCCGUCGGCCUCCCGUCCGCCAAAAUCCGCCUCCUGCCCAGCUUCGUGCCCUGCCCGUGCGACGGCGGCGGCGACGGCUCCUCCUCCUCGCCGCGGAUCUGCCCCGUCUGCCUCGACGCUGCGCGCGCCGGGGAGCGGUGGCGCGCGCUGCCCGCCUGCGGCCACGCGUUCCACGCGGCCUGCGUCGACCGGUGGCUCCUCUUGUCGCCCGGGUGCCCCGUCUGCCGCGCCACGGUGUCCGUCCCCGUCAGCUGA